AGCGAACGCUGGCGGCAGGCCUAACACAUGCAAGUCGAACGAACUCUUCGGAGUUAGUGGCGGACGGGUGAGUAACACGUGGGAACGUGCCUUUAGGUUCGGAAUAACUCAGGGAAACUUGUGCUAAUACCGAAUGUGCCCUUCGGGGGAAAGAUUUAUCGCCUUUAGAGCGGCCCGCGUCUGAUUAGCUAGUUGGUGAGGUAAAGGCUCACCAAGGCGACGAUCAGUAGCUGGUCUGAGAGGAUGAUCAGCCACAUUGGGACUGAGACACGGCCCAAACUCCUACGGGAGGCAGCAGUGGGGAAUCUUGCGCAAUGGGCGAAAGCCUGACGCAGCCAUGCCGCGUGAAUGAUGAAGGUCUUAGGAUUGUAAAAUUCUUUCAGCGGGGACGAUAAUGACGGUACCCGGAGAAGAAGCCCCGGCUAACUUCGUG
rnacentral:rRNA from 1 species